GCACCGAUGGUGUAUGGUACACCCGCCGACAGAAUUGGUGGAUCACUUGACAGUCAUUAGAACGGCAGACCGGGGUUCGAUUCCCCGUUGGUGCA